GAUGGAGAGAGACACCAGACAAGACACAGAGACAGCAACAGACGACACAGAGAAAGUGAUGGAGAGAGACAGAAGAGAAUAGAGUUCCAGACAGUUGUAGAAUGUAUACCAAGACACAUUGUAAGAGCUAUAAAGAGAGAGGGGGUGGGAGAGAGAACAGGCAUAACCUGAUAUGUAAAUGAGCAGAGCAAAUGAAACUCACUUUUGACGACCUGAUGAUCAUCCAGACUGUGUUUCUAUUGAGAGAUAAAAGGCUGGUUGAAUGAGUUGUCUAUGAAAGCUACUUCAUCUGUAAGAAAACAGGCGUCUGCACCAGUGACUGGGUCAGUGCUCUAAAAUGAGUCUCUCUAGGGAGAGAGAGGAGGGGGGCCCUGCCUCUAAAAUUAGACUCUCUGGGGAACAUGACACCAAAUCUAAGAGACCAAUCAAGCAGGAGAGACCAGCCUCCCCUGUACCCAGCUGUGUGUCCCUGAAGAGUGGCCGGUCUAUGGGUCAUCCUAUAAUGUUUAGAGAGGGAGACUUUUCUACUGAACAAAGGUAAGAGGAACUCAUGGGUCCUGGUCAGUGAGUUAAACAACACUGUCUCUAGU